GAUGAACGCUGGCGGCGUGCCUAAUACAUGCAAGUCGAGCGAACAGACGAGGAGCUUGCUCCUCUGACGUUAGCGGCGGACGGGUGAGUAACACGUGGAUAACCUACCUAUUAUACUGGGAUAACUUCGGGAAACCGGAGCUAAUACCGGAUAAUAUAUUGAACCUCAUUGUUCAAUAGUGAAUGACGUUUUUUCUGUCACUUAUAGAUGGAUCCGCGCCGCAUUUAGCUAUUUGGUAAGGUAACGGCUUACCAAGGCAACGAUGCGUAGCCGCCCUGAGAGGGUGAUCGGCCACACUGGAACUGAGACACGGUCCAGACUCCUACGGGAGGCAGCAGUAGGGAAUCUUCCGCAAUGGGCGAAAGCCUGACGGAGCAACGCCGCGUGAGUGAUGAAGGUCUUCGGAUCGUAAAACUCUGUUAUUAGGGAAGAACAAAUGUGUAAGUAACUAUGCACGUCUUGACGGUACCUAAUCAGAAAGCCACGGCUAACUACGUG
rnacentral:rRNA from 1 species